CCUCUCGUCGUUCAACGGAUAGGAUAUCUCCCUCCGAAGGAGGUGAUGCCAGUUCGAUUCUGGCCGAGAGGACUA
rnacentral:tRNA from 3 species